GAUGUUUACUGAUGGAAGAUUCUAGACCGUCUGGGGACAGAGGAGCCUUGCAUGAGGUUGGACCAGCAAGGAGCAGUUGGGCUGAGUCCACUGAGCUCAGAGAUGGGCUAAGGCUCCCCAGAGAUAGCCGACAUGAAAAUAUAGGGACACGGGAUGGGGCAACUGAGAUCUCAUUCCCGAAGGAAGGGUCUAGACUUGUAUAAAGACCCUCGGCCCCAAAGCUGGCCCCUGGAGACACCAUUUAAUCAGAAUGGUAGUUCUGGACACCAAACAGAAACAUACUAUAGUAGAAUACCUCUGGGGGGCAGGGGCUGGGGAGAUGGCUCAGCCGUGCAGUGCUUGCCCCAUGAGCCUGAGGACCUGAGCCAAGGGAGGUGGCACAAGAUUGUGAUGCCAACACCAGCUAAGACAGAAAAAUGGAAUGUAGUAGCAUUUCCUUUGGAUCAGCCCACCAGGCAAAACAUUGGUCUCUAAACGCAGCGUCGUCAUGAGCCUUUCGUCUUCAGAGAAGCCCUUCUGCCACUACAAGAUAUGUCAGCUGUGCUAAGACUCGUUUUGAGCAUAAGCCAACUGAAGCAUGGUGAGUGCAGAGUGGCCCUCUGCCCUCCCACAUGUGGAAAAGAAAGUCAUAAAUGUCCCUUUACAGGGGUGAUACUAUCUGCAGGAUGGCACCGCAGGCACAGGCUCCGUUCUGCACAAACAGGCCUUGCUCCACGAACCUCACCUUCCAGCAUCUUCCCUUACACCCUCGCUACAGUUCACUUCCCGUUAUGGCCCAGCCCCCUCCCUUUGCCUGCUCAGUGCCCCAGCACAUUUGACUCCGUUAAAAUGGCACAGAAGGCCUGGGCCUCACUGUUUCUUAGCGGUUUCACUUCUUCUGUGUUAACUCACAACAAAUCAAAAUAUUAAUAUACUCUUUAUAGUAAUACAUAAAAUUUGUACUCA